GGGGAUAUGACUCAGUGGUAGAGUACUUGCCUGGCAUUUGUGAGAGUCUUGGGUUCAAUUCCCAGUACCG
rnacentral:tRNA from 1 species